UUGAGGCUGGGGAGAUCUCCACCUCGAGUGAGGCACCUUAUGGGGACGCUCCUAUCCUCGUGAGGGGCUGCUUUGGAAGAGUUAGUUUUUAAAUUUCUACCUUUUAAAUUGUAUCAUGUCAGUUUUAAUUGCAUAAAUGACUCAAGAAACAUCAGUAGAUGUCUAGAAGUGGGGCCAACUGUGGAAAUGCAAAUAUGAACAAAGCAAGGUUCCCGCUCCCAAGACCUUCUUCACUGCGUAUCUGGACCUGAAGUGUUAUAGCUCUGAGCACCAAGCCACCUGAAGUGAGAGAGGUCUGUGUGCACCGACCUGUCCAAAUAUAUUUUUCCUCUGGACACCUUUCCAAGCCUGUCUAAUGGAUGGUGGGAGGAUGGACUGACGGUAUUUUGUCCAGGGAUUUCCUCUUCCCAGACUUACAUCCUUUCACAUGCAAGUUGUGUGUCUGUUUGGACAGGAAGACCAAGAAGCCAAGUAAUGUUCCUGGCAAGGAUAUGGGAAAGGAAAGGAAGUGAAAAGGAGUUGAAAGAAGAGAGGAUUUUACAGG